CUCCCUUGUCCUCCUCUGAUGUUCACCGUGUGAUCUUUUAUCAACGCAACUAUGGAGGGGCCCUUGAUAGCUUGUUCCCAUGUGUCCCUGUGCUUGCCUAGGUUUGGUGUAGGGGGAGACACUGAAUGCUUGACGGCCCUGUCUUUCCAUUUUUUAGGCAGGUGACACCGAAUUGGUCCUCAGGAGCAGAUGUCCAGGAACCCUGCCUACACUCCAUCCCAGCUGCUAGUCCUAGGUUGGGACACUCCACUGGGGUCGUCCAUGGGAAAGCUAUGGAUGUUAACCAGCCCUGAGGCCUGACCUGAAGCCAUCAGUGGCCGCAGCUGCCGUUCCUUGCCUUUUCCUCCCUGGAUCUCCUGAUUACAUCAACCAACAACAAAGAUGUCUGAGCCCAGAAGAUGCUCUCCACUGCCCACCUGAGAGGACUGGAACUUUCCAUGACCCAGUGGGAUCCAGUACCACCCCCCCCCCAACAAACACACACACACUACACCCUGUGCCAUCCACCUGAGUCCCCAACCCAUAGCCCCUGCUUCUCACCCAUUCCCCACGUCCCACCCCAAGCCUAGCAUUUCAGGCCUGAGCAGCCCUUGCUUAGGAACCUGAGGUGGGGGUGGGUAGGCAGACCCAGGGGACUGAGCAGGGCGGGGAAGGAGGGAUUUCUGCUCUUGGCUUUCAAAGUCUCAGUGUAUGUAGCCCUUUGAACAAUAAACAUAUAUCAUAAAAUGUAAA
rnacentral:lncRNA from 1 species